rnacentral:rRNA from 1 species
UACGUAGGGGGCUAGCGUUGUCCGGAAUCAUUGGGCGUAAAGAGCGUGUAGGCGGUUCGGUAAGUCCGCUGUGAAAGUCCAGGGCUCAACCCUGGAAUGCCGGUGGAUACUGUCGGGCUAGAGUCCGGAAGAGGCGAGUGGAAUUCCUGGUGUAGCGGUGGAAUGCGCAGAUAUCAGGAGGAACACCAAUGGCGAAGGCAGAUCUCUGGGCCGUAACUGACGCUGAGGAGCGAAAGCAUGGGGAGCGAACAGG